CUCAUACUCCCUCCGUCCAGAAAUACUUGUCAUCAAAAUAGAUAAAAGGGGAUGUAUUUAGACGUAUUUUAGUUUGAGAUGCAUCUCUUCUUGUCCAUUUUGAUGACAAGUAUUUUUGGACGGAGGGAGUACUCU
rfam:Triticum aestivum genome assembly, contig: Triticum_aestivum_CS42_TGACv1_scaffold_322842_4BL